GGUCCGUUGGGUUCUUGAUCGGCUUUUCCGUACUCCAACUUACUGCUACACUCUUCUCUGCAUCUGGAGAUUCCUCCGGUUUGCUUGAUCUUUCCCCCGGUAGGUGUCUUUCCAGGGUGCGGGAACCCUUUCUCCUCCGCAGUUCCCUUUCGGCAGCGCCUGUCCCGCUCGGAUUCACCUUCUCUCACUCUCCUCUUUUCUCCCGUUCUGCCCAGUAAUGUCACGAACUUCUUGCCGUUAUUGGAGUUUAGGUUCCUCUGCCAGCGAUUGGUUGCUGUUCUGUGCGAGUCAUUUAUUCUGUAGAUGUGCUUUUUUUGUUGUGUUUGUGGGAGAGGGCGAGCGUGUCCCCCUACUCCUCCGCCAUCUUGUCCUCCUCCUCUGGCUCAACUAUUUAAAACCCAAAACGAUCCUUUGUCUUAUUUUAAUACAUUCCUCCACCUCCCACCCCAUAUCAUGAGCCAUGCCUCUCUUUCUUUUCUUUUCUUUUGGUCAAUGCCACAGCAUAUGGAAGUUCCUGGGCCAAGGAUUAAACCCACACCACAGCAGCAACCCCAGCCACUGCAGUGACAAUGCUGGAUCUUUAACCCCUUGAGCCAUGAUGGAAUUUUAUGAUUCUAGAAAACCUUAAUAUACAGACUUCAUUUGGGGAUGAUUUAUCAGAUAUAUUGUUUCUCAAAUAUUUUAAUAAACCUUAAAACAAAAAUUAUAGUAAAGCAUCUGAUAUAUCACCAAUGAGACAAUGCUUUUUCUUUAAAGGUCAUUUUUAGAAAAGGUAGAGUAAACUGAGAAAUGCAAUGCUCUUAACAGCUGGAACCACAUCUGCUCACUUGGGGUUGCCCUGAGAACCAGGCAAGACCCCAAGAGACAUCAUUCUGGGGGAGCUGAGCUGAGCUGUGGUGGAUGAAAGAGAAAUCUUCCAGGUACUGCUGGCAGGGAGAGGCUUGGGUAGAAAGUGGAAGAGAGAGAGUGUGGGGUGUGGACCUAAGAAAACAGCAAAAGGGCUGGACUGCGGUGUGACUGCUGCCCACAUCAUUUCAGUAAUAAAUGCAAUUAUUAAAGCCUUGGCAGGAGGCAGCUGAAUACUGAGAGGCUGGUCUCUGCAUCUAGACAGGGGCCCAGCACACAUCCUUCCAAAAGCGCCAAAGAGUAAACGUUCUAGGCUCUGCAUCACAUGGUCUUUGGGUCACGUGGUCUGCAGGUCACAUGGUGUGGCUUCUCCACCCUAACUUCCCAUCAUGCCACCCAGUGCAUGAAUGAGAGGUGUGACCCACAACUGUUCUGAUAAAACUUUACUUUGCAUACUGACAUUUGAAUUUCAUAUGCUUUUCAUGUUCCACAAAAUUUUGUUCUUCUUUUAACUUUUUUCAACCACAUGAAAAGGUAACCUCCAUUCCCAGCACGAGGGGGUCAGGGUCACAGUAGGACAACUCUGCUCUAGACCUGAGGACAGGGCAGAAGAAGCAAAGCAGCAUUGACCAUGAGGAUGAGGAGGAGAUCACAGACAGCAGCAGCUGUGGGGCAAGCUCUGGACUGGAGCUGACUGGGGAAGUGAGUUUAACUAAGUUUAAUCAGAUCCCUAAGAAGUAGUUGGGUAUCCAGAGACAUUGAGAUUAGAGGCAGACCAGAUUGGAAGUGUUGGACAGGUGUAUUAACUAGAACUCUGAAAAUAACUCAAAAGAACUUUGACCAGUGAGAGAAAUAAAAAAAGAGCUGGAAUUGAUAUAAGGACCUGGUGGGUCUCACUGAGCACAAGUAUAAGACGGUAAGACAUAAAUCUAAAUUUGUGGAAGAACUUUGGAGUUGAGAUGACAAAAGCCUUGAAAGAAGAGUUGAACUUGAUAGUCCUAAAGAAAAGGUCUCAAGAUAGGAAGGGAAGCUUGAGUGAUGGGUCAGAGGCAAGAAUAAGUGAGAUGUGCUGUGAAUUACUGCAGAGAAAUCAAGCUACGGCCAUGAAAGUGAAGUGUGGCCCCCAUCCCAUCUCCUGCCCAUGGAGACCCAGUGCCCUAACCCCAGCAGGCUUCAGGCAGGACCGCAUCUGAGGCCAGCACAGAGCAGUCAGGCCCAUGGGCACCUCAGCCAAGACACAAAACUGCCCUGCGAACCAAGAGCCUGGGGAGAGGCCUGAGGUCCCAUUGGCUGAGGUCACAGACCCCAGUGAGAAAGGCAGCCAGCCUGUCACAGCAGCAAGCAUGGGCAGACACCCUGCUGGCUGGGUGACUGACUGUGGAAUCAUGUGGUCCUUUCUCCCUGCACUUCUUCCACCUCCAAGGAGGAAGAGAAACUCAUAGUGGUCGAGGCAUAAGGGCUCUAAGAACCCCAUCAGGGCACUGGGAGAGGAGGCAGAUUAUCCUGGGACAGGAACAUGAGGAGGAAGCUCUGGGAUGAGUCAUCUUCCUGCCCCCCACCCUUCUGCACCUGGGCUUCUUCUGCCAGGAACAGGUCCCAUGUGGCAGGUGUGGGGGGCUGGGGGACCUGCAGAGAUCAUCCAACCCCUGGCGGAAUUGCUCCUGGUACAUCCGUCCCUGCCCAUCCCAGUCUGCAGGUGAUGGAAUGGUGACUGGUCAGCUUCUUAGAAGUGGUGGCUUAAAGAAGGAAGGAGAAGCCCUGCCAGCUCUGGGCUCACAAGAAAACGAAAGACCCUGAUACACUUCCCUCCCUGGGGACCCCUGGGGAGUGAGCUUCAUCCAGAUGAAAGAUGGCCAUAUGCACUGAUGGAGAAUACAGGCAUUCAGCAUCCAAAUCCAACCUGUUUCCCUCAGAAACAAGUAACCAGCCCAUGCUGGAGAGGAAAGGCAGGCUGGCCUUCUGAGGCCUGAGCCAUAGGUGGGUGCCUGCUGGAGCCCAGCACACAAAGGGUGGGGGGAGCGGCAGAUCCAGGGGCACAGCAGGGAAAGGAGGCCCAGAGUAGUGGGAAGGGAGGAAAUCAGAUGGGGGACGGAGUUCACUCUUUUCAACAGAGGACAUUUCCCUUUUAAAUAGCCCAAAGGUAAUCUUGGUCCUGACCCUACAGCCUGGAGAAGAAAUUUUUAAAAAACCCAGCGGGGCCUCAGAAAAUAGCCCCAGUGUGAGUCUGUUCCCAGGAGACACGUCUUUAGAACAGACCAGAGUGAAAGCAGCAUCCUUUCUGGGGCCCUCAUGGACCAAGACAGCCAGGACCUCGACCCUCCCUAGGUCGCACUCUGACCACUAGCUGUGGGGAGGGAGCACACCAUUACACUCAGAUCAGGGCUUCGUCCUUUCCCCUGAGGUGGCCUCAGAGUGAGGACCUGAGGAAUGAGAAAGACACAGGACACAGCUCUGGGCAUCUGAAGGUGUAGAAUGCAGGGCCCUGAGCCUGGCCUUCCAAGAGCAAAGAAGCACCUUCCUUUUGUUCCAUAGGGACAUGGGCCAAGGGGGUCUGAGCCCAGGAAUGCGACAGCCCUAACCAGAAUUCCUGAUAAAAUCACUGAGUUUAGCCUGUGGUCAAUGAGGGAGACUGUCCCUGUUCCUUACUGCACGCGUGACACCAACUGGGGAUAGAAAAGGAAAUGCAAAAUGAAAAGUCACUGCAGUCUUCUGAAUGUUGGUGACUCACCUGCCAGAGGCAGCAAGGACCCAUCAGUAGUUGGCUCUGCAUCUCAUCUGCUGAUUUCAGAUACAACAUGUUAGUUUCAGACUGAAAAGAUAGGAAGCAGGCUUUACCAAUGGCAUCCUGACCUUCAGAACAGCCUUGAAAGUCAUUGGUUCAAGAGCUACAUUAAGGGAUAGUGAGGUUUCCUGACAUCAGCCUUUGUCUCUAAAAACAUGCCAUGGAUGAUUCCAUAUUGUCCCUAUUUUAGGGACACUAAAUAAGGAUAACAGGGAAUUGUCCUGUGACUACUCCUUUUUCUCAUCCACAUCCGACACAGGUGGAUAACACACAGAUCCUCUGCUGCACAUAAACUCUAACCCACACAGACACACACAUGCACAAACAUACAAAGACUCAGCUCUUUUCUUCCCGGAGUUUACAAGAGGUUGGUGAUUACUGCUGUCAGUUACUAUCAUAAUUGUUCAGCAUUACAUUAUAUUGGAUACUGUUCCCAAAGGUAUUAUUUCAAUCAAAUCUCAUAAAAACCAAUUUUAGAGAUGAAAAGUCCUUUCCAGAAAAAAAAAAAAAA
rnacentral:lncRNA from 1 species